AAACCGUGUACGUACAAGCAGUGGGAGCACGCUUAGGCGUGUGACUGCGUACCUUUUGUAUAAUGGGUCAGCGACUUAUAUUCUGUAGCAAGGUUAACCGAAUAGGGGAGCCGAAGGGAAACCGAGUCUUAACUGGGCGUUAAGUUGCAGGGUAUAGACCCGAAACCCGGUGAUCUAGCCAUGGGCAGGUUGAAGGUUGGGUAACACUAACUGGAGGACCGAACCGACUAAUGUUGAAAAAUUAGCGGAUGACUUGUGGCUGGGGGUGAAAGGCCAAUCAAACCGGGAGAUAGCUGGUUCUCCCCGAAAGCUAUUUAGGUAGCGCCUCGUGAAUUCAUCUCCGGGGGUAGAGCACUGUUUCGGCAAGGGGGUCAUCCCGA
rnacentral:rRNA from 1 species